AAACCUAGGGGUGGGCAUAAACACCGAAAAUCGAAAAACUGGACCGAACCGAAUUAGUUCGGUUUUUCGGUUUCGGUUUUUUUAAUUUUUCGGUUCGGUGUUCGGUUCGGUAUUCGGUUCCGGUUCACCGGUUCUUCGGUAUUCGGUUAAACCGAAAAUUUCACAAAUAAUUUUUUCUCCCCUACUUCAGAUCACUAAUCACUUAGCUGGUAUGGUUAGCCCACUCCACUCUAUAGGCCCAUUUUGUGAAAUAUCCAAGCCCAUCCUACUGACCCAAAUUAGUAUUACCACUUUACCUACCAUGUUACCGGGACCAACUAUCUAAUUCUAUCCAAUAAUCCUAAUUCCUAAGUCCAACUCGUCCUCUAACUCUAACGCUAACUUCAACCCUAAUGCCUCCUCCUCUCAUCUCCUCUCCUCCUCACGCCUAACUUAACAGUCCUCACACGAUCCACACUGCUCUGUCCAAGUUCCAACGGCGGCGGGAGUUCUCAGGCACCUUACACCAAGGGACUAUUUGCUUUCCUUUAUCCCCUUUCAGGGCAUCAUUAGGUAAGAUGGAUGGUAUUCUUCACUGAACUUAUUUUGCUAUGUGAAAUUGCUGCUACUGAUUUGAUCUGAUCUCUUUUUUCUUCUUUCUUUUGGUGACCAAAUGCCAUGUUUGUGUAGCCAUCAGUUGGAUUUAGUGAUGACUACUGUUUUUUGUAUUUGUGAUGGAUCAGCAGCCAAUCCAUGGAACCUAUGCAGUAUGCAGCAAGUGCAAGAAGCUAAAUGUGUUAUAAGGAUAAUUCCUAUUUGGGCUGCAGCAAUUGUAUACCAUAUUGCAAUAAUUCAGCAGCUUGAGUAUUUGUUGAACUGCUUAUCACUGUGGGCUGCUGCUACUGAUUUUUAUAUCAUUGAUAUUGCAGUAUUGCCUGAGCAAAUGCAUGAAAAAGCGGCAGGUUAGGUUCGAGUACUGGAAAUCCAAUUGAUUGUUCUACCUGUAUACGGUAAAAAUCGGAUAUAUGCUAGACCGGAGACCGAGCAUGAAGACUUUCUUUUGGGACCGGAGGAGUGCUUGAUCCGAAGAAAGCGAAAGACAUCGUUUGGUCCGGUUUCUCCAUAGCCGAGUUGAUCGUGGCCGUUGGCUCGGUUGAUCAUGGCCGUUGGUCCGUUUGAUCGUGGCCGUUGGUCCGGAUGAUCCGUUACACAAUUGCCACGCGUCAAUACCGUUCUGCCACAUUGUACUGUCAAUCGUACGGGUGUCAGACCGUACGAACCAACCUUAUCCUUUUUAGGGUUUUACUUUAUUCAAAAAGGCUUUAGGUUGUAAGAGGCCCAUAAGGCAAAACUAUAAAUAGGGGUCAUUAUCCUACUUUUAAGAGUUGGCUUCUUGAGUUCUAGAACAUUGUAAUAGCAAAAUAUAUAAAAUCUCUCUCUCAUUCUCUGACUUUGGUCCGG